rnacentral:snRNA from 1 species
GUACUAGCGCAGUGGCAGUAUCGUAGCCAAUAUGGUUUACUAGAGGCCCGAUAUUGCUAGUUGAAAACUUUACUUAUGAAAUGUUUUCUGUCCGGUAAAAAAAAUAAAAAUCCUGGGCUAUCACUUUUAGACUACAUAUCUA